rnacentral:rRNA from 1 species
UACGUAGGGUGCUAGCGUUGUUCGGAAUCAUUGGGCGUAAAGCGCGUGUAGGCGGUCAGGCAAGUCAGAUGUGAAAUCCCUGGGCUCAACCGAGGAAGUGCAUCCGAAACUGCUUGGCUAGAAGACGGUAGAGGAAGGUGGAAUUCCUAGUGUAGAGGUGAAAUUCGUAGAUAUUAGGAGGAAUACCGGUGGCGAAGGCGGCCUUCUGGGCCGAUCUUGACGCUGAGACGCGAAAGCGUGGGGAGCAAGCAGG